rnacentral:tRNA from 1 species
GCUCGGGUAGCUCAGUUGGUUAGAGCACUCGCCUGAAGAGCGAGGUGUCGGCGGUUCAAGUCCGCCCCCGAGCACUA